UACAGAGGGUGCAAGCGUUAAUCGGAGUUACUGGGCGUAAAGGGCGCGUAGGCGGUUGAAUGUGUGAGAUGUGAAAUCCCUGGGCUUAACCUAGGAACUGCAUCUUAAACUGUUUAACUAGAGUACUGUAGAGGGUAGUGGAAUUUCCGGUGUAGCGGUGAAAUGCGUAGAGAUCGGAAGGAACACCAGUGGCGAAGGCGGCUACCUGGACAGAUACUGACGCUGAGGCGCGAGAGCGUGGGGAGCAAACAGG
rnacentral:rRNA from 1 species